CUUCUGCUUCGUACAGCGAUGACUAAACUGCUGAUCUUACGCAUUUAUUGCAAACAGGUCUAGUCGCAUUUUAAAAAUCUAAAAAGGAUUCACGACUGCAGUUGUUUCAUUUCGAUAUCUAACACCUGGCUCGAAAAAUGUGACGAAGCUUCGGCAGAAAUUAAACGCUAUUUAGAGGCGGCCGCUUUCACGCGUCUUGUAUGGUGUCCACGUGAUCUGUUUCUCCAAUGAGAGCAAAAACAAUUUACGUUUCUGUUCGCGGAAUGACGUGGUUCAUUGAUAACGGCAGGUGUACCACGAACUGUUCAAAAGAACGCCGGCUGAAUGGCGCGCCAGCUUUCGCCACGCCCUUUGUGUCCGUUUCCCUGCGAUGUCCUUCCACUGCUGACAUUCUGGGAAUGAAAUUUAAGGGAAGAAACGCUUAUUUUCGAGACGCGAGCACUCGCGGAAUCGUAAUGCGUGUGUUACAUCUCGACCACGAGUGGCUACGGUGCAAACUGGAUUGCUCUUCUGAAAUAGGAAGCGAAUACAGCAACGUGAACGCCAUCGAAUACAAACUUUACGAUAUUUGAAUGAAUUGGACGAGAAGCUACAUUUCUGCGGAAUAAGAAACAAUUGAAAUUAAUGAAGAAACAAUUAUUUUCAAAUUAUUGAAAUUAUGAGAAGUCUCUAGUAAGAAAUGGUUGAAUAAACUUCUCAAUUCGAA